UACAGAGGGGGCAAGCGUUGUUCGGAAUUACUGGGCGUAAAGGGCGCGUAGGUGGCCUUCUAAGUUGAACGUGAAAUCCCUGGGCUCAACCCAGGAACUGCGUCCAAGACUGGGAGGCUUGAAUCCGGGAGAGGGAUGCGGAAUUCCAGGUGUAGCGGUGAAAUGCGUAGAUAUCUGGAGGAACACCGGUGGCGAAGGCGGCAUCCUGGACCGGGAUUGACGCUGAGGCGCGAAAGCUAGGGGAGCAAACGGG
rnacentral:rRNA from 1 species